GCAAGGUGGUCAUUUCGCGGCUGAUAAAACCAAGGCGGCGGUUAGGCGUUUCCCGCUUUUCCAUCUCCUCUAACCCCCACUGUCAACCUCUGGGCUUCGGAGAAUUCUCUGAUCGAUGGCGAUGCGCAGGGGAUUCCAGCCAGUCGCCUCGAGAUCAUCCAAGCCUCAACCCCUUGGAUGAAAUCAUUAGAGCACGAAACCUUUGCCGCCCCUUUGAUUUUCUGAAACUAAAAAAUGUGAAAACCCUUGCCGCCCUUUUGAUUUCCUGAAAUCACGACCCCACGAGUGGAGCCCUAGCGAUUUUGAAGCUCCACGGACUGCAAUGGAGAUCCAGCAUGCCACGUGAAGCACCGCAGCCGGAGAACCUUGUGAUUCGGACCCUUAAGGCCUCGCCCCUUCCACUAAUCGGUAGAGCCACAGGCCCAUAGAAGCCGAUUGAAUCACUGCCACUGCAAGUGUAUUAUUAAUGAAGAUGUAUGAAUUUUUUCAAUGAAAAGAACAGGAAGAUGCUUGUUUUAGAAAUCAGUUGAGGAUCCUGGUGCACUUCUGUGUUCUAUGGUGCUGCUGCUAAUGUGGUCGUCUGCUUGUAUGAGGGGAAGACUAGCAAACCAUCUACUCUAUUGACAGCAAAUGAUAUGUCUGGCCUUGUCAUAGUGGCAUAUUGAAGUGCUUCCGAUUGUACUUGGAUAUAAACUUGGGUCACGAAACAUGGACCUGUUUUGAGCAGUCAAUUGCGACUCCCAAACAAAUAAUUUUCAGAAUUCAAUUUGAUGCUGAGAAAGUGCUGCAGAUUGCUUGGAAGCUGAAGGAGAGGAGGGAUACAUGAGGUCGGUCGUAAGCUUGUUGGAAAGGUUGAAGCACAUCAGCGAAUCUUAUGGGCUUGCUUAGGAACCCACUUGGUCACCAGUUUGCAAUUUGUUAAGGACAACUUUGAAGACUUCUUGCGGUUGGUAUGGAAGAUGGUCUUACUUGCUAUGGUUUGAGCACGCAGGUUACAGGAUCGAUAUUUGAAACAAAUGAAUGACGAGGGAACACAGACAAAAGAAGGCUCAAAGCGGCAUUUUUUGCGGCAUGAAACUUUUAUAAGUAAUCACACGCAGGUAACAGUAUCGAUAUUUGAAACAAAUGAAUGACAAGGGAACGCGGGCAAAAGAAGGCUCAAAGCUGCAUUUUUUGCGGCUAUGAAAAUUUUUACAGAUGUUGCUCUGUGAGCCCCAGAGAUGAAGGAAAGAGAGGUGGUUUUGCCUCAUGCAAACCGAUAGGGAGAAAAAGGGUGGCUUCACCAGGCUAACCGCCAAGAAAAAUUUACCAUGAUAAGAUGAGGGGCAUGGCAUUAUGACCGUUAAAUUUGAAGGACAUGAAGACCUGGGGCGUGUGCGGCUGCGUCGCAGAGCUUGUGAGGUCUGUCAACUUCAAGCUUUCCCCACUGUCAAGAAGCAAACAAAAAAAAAGAAGAAGAUACAAAAAGACAAGAAUCUUACACGAGGGUUAAAGAAAUGGACCGGUUGGUAACUUGGUAGCGGUACUGCGGUUGCAUGUUGAUGUUAGUUGUAUGUUUUUUGCGUACUGAACAUGAGAAUAAAGAAUCAUCGAAGCAUUUUUGCACUGAACGCUGGAGCACAUUUUUGAGGCCGACAACGAAACCGGACCUGAAAAAAAUUCUGGGUCACCAUCAAAAGGAGGUCUUCCUAUAAUCAAUUUUGUAUAAUCGAGAAGAAUGCACAUUUUUUUUUCCCAUUUUUAUUAGCU